UGUUAACUAUGUAAUACAAGUAAUUAAUUUUUUCCACAUAAUUAAAGAAUUAUACACUCAGUUACAACCAAAAUGACAAUGCUUUAAUAACCCCUAAAGAUUAAACGGUGAAGCUAAAUGAAGAAAGCGACAAAACCUAUAAAAUUAAACCCCUAAUGGAUCGAAAUAAUUUUUUGAAUUUUAUUGAAUUGGUGGAAAAAAAACCCUAAACAUUUCAAUUUGGGAGAAGAGAAAUUAGUUGCAAAAAUAGUGAUUUGGGAGGAAAUUUUGAAGAGGAAAAGGAAAUUUGGUGAAAACGAUUUGAGAGCAUAGUAAACAAAGGUGUGGUGAGGGAUACAACAAAGCAUUAUGGCGAGGAGACAGCUUCGUUUGAAGGGGCAUAGCCAGUGAAAUACGGUAAUGGUGGUCUAUUGCGAUGUUUAUUUAAUUUAUUGAUGAAAAUUUCCUAAAUUUAUUUUGGGUUUUGUUCAAAUGUCGGUUGUAACUAGUCUUGACCCAUGCUUCGUGUAUUUUUUUGUUUAGAUUCUACUAUGUUUGGGGUAACACGUUUUCAGUUUAUGAUUGUAAAAUAUGUUGGAUUGUUGGGUUUGUGUUGUUGAUUUAUUCUAUUCUAUUGAGCCUUCAUAACUGUUUGCAUUGUUUGAUUGAAUUUUUUAGGGCUGAUUGUUGAAAGUAUCUAUGAAAUAAUUGUGGCACUGGUAUUUGAUGCAUUGAAAUUUAAAAUGAUAUCUAUAGAUAGAACAUAAGAGGACCUGAAAGUGUUGACUUUCUUAUUGAUGUCAUUUUAUGGUUAGCAUGUUGGAUUCUUUGUGCUUUUAUGCAUGAUGAAAGAUGGGAAAUGUUAACUUUGUAUAGCAGUAUUGUUGAAUAGAAAAUUGUUAGGAAUGUGGACUAUGUGUUGUCUGCUGGUGAAGCACAAAAAGGGAUAGCUGGAAAAGUUAAUUCCAUGUUUGCUUGUACGUUUGAUGGUCGUUGUGGCUCAUAAGUUGGGAUUCAAACAAUUUUACUGGACCAUAUGUUUGUAAAUAUGCCAAAGGUGUAUCUGAAUAUUGAUGCUUCCUGCAAGUUGAUAAUAAUAAAAUAAGGUGUAAACAUGUGUCUGGUCAGUGAUGCUAUGGUAUGACUAGUGUAUCUAAUUAAUUAGAGUAUGGUUAACAAACGCUAUACUUUUCAUACUGUUUUGGAGUAUAAGGAAAUUUAGAUUUGUUACUGUUUCAUGCAUUUAAAUUAAAAGAAAAUGUUAUUGUUUUGGAGUACAAGAAGCAGUUUUAUGCUUAAUAUUAGGGUUUUUUUAGAAAUAGAUUAGAAGUUAAUGCUUUUUACAGAAUCCAGAUCGGACUAUUUUACAAGUUGUCAUGAAUCAUGAUGGGCUCCUAUUGAACUCGCUAACCAUGAAAUGCAAAGGAAGAUCAGUUGGUUACUUUGACUAUUGCCAUGUAGAGGCUAUUUCCAUGAUUGAAAUGCAUGGCAUGAUGUCUCGAAUAAGUCUGAAGGAGGAUAUGGUUCAUUUGUCUUGGUAAGAAGAAGGAAACGUUAGGCCACUGAAAAUUGAUAGUGAUACAGUUAAUACGGUACCUUGUAUGCCUAGAAAUCAUUAUCUCCAUGUAUAUGUUGAAGAUAAAACAUAUGCUAGUGUUGAAAGUCAAUGAAAGACAGUAGGUGAUGAAGGUAGGGAAGGUAAGGUAGCAAGUGAGGGUAGGGAAACAAGGAGUACAAAAUCUGAUUCAAAAGAUUCCAACUACCAUGCUUAUAAAACUAAAAUAGAUUUUUGUCUCUGACUUUGAAGAUAAUAACAAUAUUAUCGGUGAAGUUAAUGAGAAGGUUUGUGAAGUUCAUGUUGUUCAGGUUGUAGAAAUGAACCUAAUGGAUUUAUGAGGUGAUGAUAGGGGAAAAUCAAGGAUUAAUGGUUGAGAGUGACACUAAAAGCGGGCUGUUAGAGUCAUUACACAAUGUUCACUCUUUUGACUCGGAGGGAAACAAUUCCCCUAAAUCCGACACUAGGAUAGAUAUGGGAAACCCUGACUUGAAGACUGGGAUGGUAUUUGCUAAUAGGGAGGUUCUGAAGGAAGCUAUUAGGCAAUAUGGUAGCUUGAACAGAUACAAAAGUGAGGUUUGACAAGAAUGGCAAGAAGAGGGUAAAGGCAGUGUAUAGGUCAGCCUGUCCAUGGUUUUUAUGGGGUUUAAAGAUGAAUAAAAAAGAUCCCCAAGAUAAUACUUGGCAGAUGAAGACAAUGACAUAGUUGCUUGAAAGAGACCAAGAAUAGGAAUAUUUCUAGCUAAUGGUUGGUACAACAUUACCUGGAAAAGUUUCAGACUGAUCCUACAUAUUCCAUUCGUAACCUACAACAAGAUGUGAAGAAAGACUUCCUAAUUCAUGUGCCCCAUAGAAAAUGUGGUAGGGCCAAGAUUACGACACUAGAGAUGGUUAUAGGAAGCCACAAUAAACAAUAUGGGAUGAUAUGAGUACCUAGGGGAACUUAGAUACACAAACCCUAGGACCACAACCAUAUAUGUAAGCUAGACAAUAGGUUGUUCCAACGAAUGUACAUCUGUUUAGCUGCUUGUAAGGAAUGGUUAAGAGAUGGGUGCAAGCCAAUUACCAGCCUUGAUGGCUGUUUCUUAAAGGAUUACUAUGGAGGCCAUCUAUUGUCUGCAGUUGGGAUUGAUGCAAAUGAUUGUAUUUAUCCCACCCCAUUGCAUAUGCAGCAGUAGAGAGUGAAAACCAGUCAUCAUGGUUCUUGUUCCUUGAACUAUUUGCAAAUAACUUGGACAUUCAGAAAAUCAACCAUUAGACAUUUAUGACUGACAGACAAAAGAUAUUUGUAUUACUUUACUAUUAACUAUUUUUUAUUUGUUUAUUCCUAACUGAUAGUGGAAAUGACAUGUCUAAACACGUCCUUGUGGAAUCCAUUGCUGGGCUAUUCCCUAAUGCAAAUCACAAGACAUGUGUUAGACAUUUAUACACUAACUUCAAGAAUAGCCACAAGGGUAAGGCAUUGAAAGGUACCUUAUAGAAAGCUACCAGAUCAACAUAUGGAAGAGAGCUUGUUGAAGUAAUGGUAGAAAUGAAGAAUUUGUUAAAUGCAACACAUCAAUGGUUGGCUCAGAAACACCCAGCUUAGUCGUCAAAAGCUCAUUUCUCCACCAGAUCCAAAUCUAACAUGUUGUCAAACAAUCUAUCAGAGUAUUUUAAUAAGUUUAUUCUAGGUGCUAAGGAUAAGCUCAUCCUAACUUGCGUGGAUACCAUUAUGACCAAAAUUAUACAAAGGAUUGCUCAAAAGAAAGAAGCUAAGAAAGUCAUUGAACCAUUGUGUCCAAAGAUUCAGAAGAAGUUGGACACCAAAACUGAGCUGUGCAAUAGGUGAAUCGUUCCAACUCAUUUUAAGUUCUUAAAUAUCUACUGUUUGGCUAGUAUUUUAUAAGUGUUGUUUUGGUUAAGUGUUGGUUUGCCAUAUGUUCUUACUUAUAUAAUGAUUUGCUACUUUUUUUCAUAUGUUCUUAAAUAUCUAAUGUUUUACUACUGUUUUUAAGUGUAGUUUUGGUUAUAUGUUGGUUUUCCAUAUGUCCUUACUUAUAUAAUGAUUUGCUACCAUUUUAAAUAUGUUUUAAAGUGUAACAUAUGCCAAAAUUUCACAUGUUCUUAAAUAUCUAAUAUUUUGCUAUUGUUUUUAAGUCUUGUUUUAGUUAAGUGUUAGUUUGUCAUAUGUUCUUAAAUAUCUACUUUUUGGCUACUGUUUGUAAACUGUUGUAACAUAUGUCAAAAUUUUCUUAUGUUCUCAAAUAUCUAAUGUUUUGCUACUGUUUCUAAGUCUUGUUUUAGUUGAGUGUUGGUUUGCCAUAUGUUCUUAAAUAUCUAAGAUUUUGCUACUGUUUUUAAGUGUAACAUACUUUUGUUAAUAGGUGUUGUCCAAUGCAUGUUGGUGGGCUGAUGUGCCAAGUUGCAUGUGGUCCAUCCCACAACAUGUGGUUAACUUGGAUGACCAUACUUGUUCAUAAAUAAAAUAGGAUCUAACCAGUAAUUUAUGAUGUUGAAACACGUGGAUAAACCAUAAUUUCUAACUAAUCUUUUUUUCCUUGAAAGGAAUUCCAUUAAUGUAUUAACUAUCAUGAUGAUGUUGCAAGAGAGGCUAGAAAGUUAUGCGGACCCUUGUUACCCCAAGACCACAUACAUUUCAAUUUACUCACAUUUGAUCAAACCAAUCAGAGGUGCAAAACAGUGGAGUCAAGUUCAAAGUAUAGAGCCAAUACAACCUCUAGUGCCUAGAAGGCCACCAGGCAAACCCCGCAAAGCAAGGAAAAAGGGAGUAGAUGAAGCUCAACUACUGGUGAAAGAUGGUCGAGGAGGGCAUGCAAAUGAACUGCAUGAAAUGUGGUGGUCAAUCGGGCCACAAUGUCAGAACAUGUAAGGGAAGGUUUGAGGUAACAACAAGAAGAAAAAAAACUACGCAUAAAUCUCAGAGAAAGAAAAAAGUCAUUGGAUCUCAAGCUGCAGGUGCUACACCUCAAUCAGCAACUUUAACACCUCCAACUGAUACACUAAAACCUACAACCCAGGGACCUGAAACUGCACGUAAUACUACAAGUUUAAGAGAGCUCCUACAAGAACUCAGCAACACCCUCCAAUCAACCAAACUCCAAUUGUCACCACUGUGAGAAGGGUGCCAAGGAUAACUAAUUCAGGAAUAAUGUUAAUUUAGCUAACUCAAGAAAAUGAAGAAAGCAUUGUGGUCGAUUUUGGUACAAAGGAGAAAGAGCCAACAAAAGAGCGAAGGCUAGAAGCUUUACUACUUUUUUUUUGGGGGGAUAUUGUUUUUUAAUCAAUGUUAGAAUGUUUGGUUAAUUACUUUUUUGACAGAUUACUAGAAGGUUUUAUUUGGAGCCUAUUUGGCUUUGUUAACAUUGUCUAGUCUCACUUAAUUUUGUUUUUCAUUUGGGUACAUAGGUAUGUCACGGCUUGUAUAUCAAAGUCUGUGAUUAAUGCACAAAGAGCAUUUCAUGGAGGUUAAUUGAUUAAAUGAGGUUCAUUUGAUCCA